CAGGGCUGUUCUCAGGGUGACCUGUCAGCAGCGGGACCAGGACUGAGGACUUAGAAACCCCUCCUCUCAUUUCAUUCUCAGACAAGGGAAGACUUACCUAGUGCUUCUCAUUCUGAACUUUCCCAGUUCUCUGACAAUGCGAGUCCAUGGUGUGGAGACAGCUCUUCUCCUGGCCCUUUCAGAUGGGUUGGAAGUUCCCCCAUUCAAAAAAGAAGCAAACUUGGCGGAAAUAGGAUUUUAUUUUUACUGUAGUGAACACCAACAAUCCCUACUCUGUUCUCAGCAGCAGCAGAAUAUGGGAGAGUGUGAGCUUCUCCCACCCACUCUCCCAACAGCCUUGAACUCUACAAAGAUGGAAAACUCAGUUCUUUGGAAGAAAUCUUCAGCCAGGGAAAAAGUUCUGUCGACAAAUACUAUUGUUCUGCCAAGGGAACAUAGCAAUAAUAUCGAAUCAAAACUCGUAUUGAUAUUCUGUGAUACCCAUAGAUCAGUGUCUUAUUCAACUACUAUCAGAGAACCUUCAACUUACAGAAGAUGAGAACUAAUACAGAGACCUGUAACUGGACAAUGUGCUGAGAAUGAGAGACCUUGGAAUACUCAGUCCUAAACAAAAUGUCUUCAUCAAACCUCUCCUCUCAGGGCUCAUGGAGCUUCAAGGAAGAGGAGGCAGAAAGAUUGUAAGAGGCAGUGUGGGAUGGAAGACACCAAAGAAACAGUGUCUUCUAGACACAACAGGACUGAUGCAUAUAUGAACUCAUAGACUGGGACAGCAUGCACAGGGUCUGCACAGGCCCAAGCCAAACGGAGUUUCCAUGUUGAAAGAGGAAGUGGAUAUGAGCCUCUACCCAGCAGUUAUCUUCAUAUGUCAACCACCCAUAAAGGAAAGAUUAGUUUUCUCUAAUGGAGUCUCACUGAGUAUAUAAACCACACUUAAUGGAUGCCCUAUGCCCAACAGUAGAUGACCAAUGAAAAUAAACUCAAUGGUAUUUUUGG
rnacentral:lncRNA from 1 species